AGAGUUUGAUCCUGGCUCAGGAUGAACGCUAGCGACAGGCUUAACACAUGCAAGUCGAGGGGCAGCGGGGAUGUUAGCAAUAACAUUUGCCGGCGACCGGCGCACGGGUGAGUAACACGUAUGCAACCUGCCCGUAGCAGGGGGAUAAGCAGAAGAAAUUCUGUCUAAUACCGCGUAAUAUCCGUUAGGGGCAUCCCUUACGGAUUAAAGAAAUUCGGCUACGGAUGGGCAUGCGGCGCAUUAGCUAGUUGGCGGGGUAACGGCCCACCAAGGCGACGAUGCGUAGGGGUUCUGAGAGGAAGGUCCCCCACACUGGUACUGAGACACGGACCAGACUCCUACGGGAGGCAGCAGUGAGGAAUAUUGGUCAAUGGGCGAGAGCCUGAACCAGCCAGUCGCGUGAGGGAAGACGGUCCUAUGGAUUGUAAACCUCUUUUGUCAGGGAGCAACGAGAUUACGCGUAAUCGAAGAGAGAGUACCUGAAGAAAAAGCAUCGGCUAACUCCGUGCCAGCAGCCGCGGUAAUACGGAGGAUGCGAGCGUUAUCCGGAUUUAUUGGGUUUAAAGGGUGCGUAGGCGGAAAGUUAAGUCAGUGGUCAAACUGCGGAGCUCAACUCCGUAUCGCCAUUGAAACUGGUUUUCUUGAGUGAGUGAGAAGUAUGCGGAAUGCGUGGUGUAGCGGUGAAAUGCAUAGAUAUCACGCAGAACUCCGAUUGCGAAGGCAGCAUACCGGCACUCAACUGACGCUGAAGCACGAAAGCGUGGGUAUCGAACAGGAUUAGAUACCCUGGUAGUCCACGCAGUAAACGAUGAAUACUAAUUGUCCGGUCGGAAAGACGACUGGGUGAUACAGCGAAAGCGUUAAGUAUUCCACCUGGGGAGUACGCCGGCAACGGUGAAACUCAAAGGAAUUGACGGGGGCCCGCACAAGCGGAGGAACAUGUGGUUUAAUUCGAUGAUACGCGAGGAACCUUACCCGGGCUCAAACGACAGGGGAAUUACGGUGAAAGUCGUAAGCUAGCAAUAGUCGCUGUCGAGGUGCUGCAUGGUUGUCGUCAGCUCGUGCCGUGAGGUGUCGGCUUAAGUGCCAUAACGAGCGCAACCCCUAUUGAUAGUUGCUAACAGGUAAAGCUGAGGACUCUAUCGAGACUGCCGGCGCAAGCUGAGAGGAAGGCGGGGAUGACGUCAAAUCAGCACGGCCCUUACGUCCGGGGCGACACACGUGUUACAAUGGCAGGUACAGCGGGAAGCCAUAUGGCGACAUAGCGCAGAACCCGAAAACCUGUCUCAGUUCGGAUUGGAGUCUGCAACCCGACUCCAUGAAGCUGGAUUCGCUAGUAAUCGCGCAUCAGCCACGGCGCGGUGAAUACGUUCCCGGGCCUUGCACACACCGCCCGUCA
rnacentral:rRNA from 1 species